UAUCAGUGCAUCUCCAUGGCGCAGACAUGAUAGAGUCUGCUGCGCUGAAUUCUUGCACAUUCCUAUUCAUGUUCCCAUUAAUCUCGUGCUACUCACAAUGCUAGCGUUUGUAAACUAAUCCCAAAAUGCAGCACAUUUCUUUUAAGUGUGUGUUACACACGGACGUUGACUCCCAGCGCUUGCGUUCAAGCAUAUCGCACAGCGCACAGCGACCUGGUACGGCCGCAUCCGUUCGCCCCGGAGCGCUUUUCCCUCGUCUAGGGUCUGACAGCCGCAGACCAAGACAAACCCCCGGGCUUCGUCCCGCGCGUGAAGAGCGUCGCCGUGUGCCAGCGCGCUUUGAUCACGCUCUCGAGCGCGGCGCAGACAAGCACCGACGCCUUGUGCGAUACUUCCUCAGCCUCCACCGGGAAAUUCCAGCAGCUUCGGGAGAGAGAGCCUUCAUGUCGGCGCGGAUUGCACCUUCAGCUUUUGCUGUAAAUGCCAAGCUCUGAGGAGGGGGACUCGAUGGCAGCCAGAAAAAAAGGCUUCAAAGUGAAUAGGCAACGGAAAGCCAUGGGCCGGAGGAUAUGACUUCAGUCAGAGACGGGACACUUUGGAAUGCUGGUGUCUUUUGUCCCAGGUCCUGAUGUGAACUCCCAGUCUGGAGGCAACCACUAUGGCCACCUGUGAACCACCAUUAUCACCAAUACUCAUGCACAAACACACACACACACACACACACACACACACACACACACACACACACACACACACACACGACGACAUGGACCAAUUAAGGCUCCUGUAUUCACGCUUCCAUUCAGCCAUAACAAACAGGCCCUGUGCUGCUGCUAGGACUGCCGUCCUUCUGUCACACUCCUCAUUGUAUGUGUGUGCAUAUGUUCCUGUUUAGGUUCUGUGUUUUAUAGACUGUACAUGUAUGAGUUGUGUAUGCGUUUAUGUGUUGUGAGCAUGUGUAUAGACUGUAUGUGCAUCUAUGGGUUGUGUGCAUGUAUAGACUGUGCAUACAUGGAUUAUAUGCAAGUGUGUAGUCUGUGUGUGCAUGUAUGUGUUGUGUGUGAGUGGAUUAUGUGCCUGUGUAUAGACUGCAUGUAUGGGUUAUGUGUACAUGAACAGAGCAUGUUGCCAAUUAUAAUCAGCUCUGCUGCAAUUUCUUGCUCCUCUCUCCCAGUCAAGCCUGACCAAAAUCAUGAAUUUCAGUUUGUGCUGCAAGCCAAAAUGGAAAACAUAAGAAUAGAAUUUUGAAGCAAGACUAUGUGAUUUGUUAAUACACAAACGAACAAUAAAAUAAUUGGAGGAAACAUCCGCUGCAUGUUUGCAUAGCAUAUAGUAUAAUUGUUGAUGUAUUGUUUAUAUAAUUAUUUUUGUUGAUAUAGGAAAUUGACUGCAAUGCUCGGUCAAACAUUCAUGCUUAUAGACAUUUGCUUCAUGUGCUCUAUUUGCUAAAAUCUUAAGCCUUUCGAAGAGGGAGCUUGAAGCCCAGCUCUGAAAGCAGCAACCAACAUCUGUUUUCAAUUACACUGGGAGGGCUGAAAAUGCCUCUUUAAAAAGGCCUGAGUUUGUUUGGCUGUUUACAUUUGCACCGCUGUCCCCGCCCAGGCGGCAGCGUGGAGGUGGGACCAAGCAGCAGCCGGCGAACCAGAGGGCAGCAUCAGCCAUCACUCAGCAGGGCUCCACGCCACCCACUGCGCUACUGAUCGUAUCAAAUGCAAACACAGGCUGGAGCGGUUUACUCGCUGGCACGCAGGCCCGCCACUGCCCUACGCCCGGCUGUGGGGAGCUGCUCUCCCAACACAUUCCACUUGGCCUGCAUCUCAGAAGGUCUUUAAAGCAUUGCUGGAGGCUUUGUCAUGCCUGUUACAUUUCCUGUUACAUAGGCUUUGUCAUGCCUGUUACAUUUCCUGUUACAUAGGCUUUGUAAUGCUUGUUACAUUUCCUAUUACAUAGGCUUUGUCAUGCCUGUUACAUUUCCUGUUACACAGGCUUUGUCAUGCCUGUUACAUUUCCUGUUACAUAGGCUUUGUCAUGCCUGUUACAUUUCCUGUUACAUAGGCUUUGUAAUGCUUGUUACAUAUACUCUCUUUCCCUCUAGGGUUUUGACACCAGAUUCUGGACCAUUUAUCAGUUGUCAAAUGACAGUAGUGGCUA